GUUUUAAUGUUUCUUCACAAAGACUAAAGAAUUUACCCAAUCCUCCCUUCCUCUGCCAAAAGAAGACAACUGCAAUCCUUUCUUGGCCUUCUUUUGUCAAGUGCCAGUAGCGUAAAUCUCUUGCCCAUAUCUCAAUGAGGACACAUUUAGCCAGGCUGAUUUCAGAAUUGGCAGACCACAGGGACUGCUUUAAGCUCUUUCAGAGUUCACUAAAAUGCUGAUGUAAUAUCCAGCACAUUGUCUGAAAUAUCAGGCCCAUUCCAUUUCUCCAGGAAAC
rnacentral:lncRNA from 1 species